GUUAGAGGCGCGGUUUUUAUCAGUAGUCAGGCUCAGGGCGCAGCCUUGCCCGUAUAUCCCUGUAUGAAAGGAAACACCGCCGAAAGCGUGCUGCAGGCAAAGCGCAGCAUGGCUUGGCUGCACGGGCGAACAGCUUUGCAGCUGUCAUCAAGCAAUUUGAUGGAGUGCUAA
rnacentral:ncRNA from 1 species